GACGAACGCUGGCGGCGUGCCUAAUACAUGCAAGUCGAGCGAAGUUUUUCUGGUGCUUGCACUAGAAAAACUUAGCGGCGAACGGGUGAGUAACACGUAAAGAACCUGCCUCAUAGACUGGGACAACUAUUGGAAACGAUAGCUAAUACCGGAUAACAGCAUUAACUGCAUGGUUGAUGUUUAAAAGUUGGUUUUGCUAACACUGUGAGAUGGCUUUGCGGUGCAUUAGCUAGUUGGUGAGGUAAAGGCCUACCAAGGCGACGAUGCAUAGCCGACCUGAGAGGGUGAUCGGCCACACUGGGACUGAGACACGGCCCAGACUCCUACGGGAGGCAGCAGUAGGGAAUCUUCCGCAAUGGGCGAAAGCCUGACGGAGCAACGCCGCGUGAGUGAAGAAGGAUUUCGGUUCGUAAAGCUCUGUUGUUAGGGAAGAAUGAUUGUGUAGUAACUAUACACAGUAGAGACGGUACCUAACCAGAAAGCCACGGCUAACUACGUG
rnacentral:rRNA from 1 species